rnacentral:lncRNA from 1 species
UUAUAGUGGAUAGUGAAACCACGUUCAGCUCUGCAAACCGAUAAACAUUAAUCCAAAAUUAUCAUAUUGGUAAAUAAUUAGAAGAUAAUUACUACUACUAUCUUAAUUUAUUCCUUGUUAACUCAGAGAAAGUUUAGACUUUUUUUUUUUGAUGAACGAGAAAGUUUAGACAUAUUAAUAUUCGGACGGGUCUACAAGCAGG